rnacentral:SRP_RNA from 1 species
GCGAGGCACGGUGGCACGUGCCUGUAGUCCCAGGUGUUUGGGAGGCUGAGGCUGGAGGAUCUCUUGAGCCCAGGGGUUCUGGGCUGUAGUGCGCUGUGCUGAUCGGGUGUCUGCACUAAGUUAGCCAUCAAUAUGGUGACCUCCCGGGAGCGGGGGACCACCAGGUUGCCUAAGAAGGGGUGAACCGGCCCAGGUCACAGACGGAGCAGGUCAGAACUCCUGUGCUGAUCAGUAGUGGGAUCGCGCCUAUAAAUAGCCACUGCACUCCAGCCUGGGCAACAUAGCGAGACCCCGUCUCU